UACGGAGGGUGCAAGCGUUAUCCGGAUUCACUGGGUUUAAAGGGUGCGUAGGUGGGCAAGUAAGUCAGUGGUAAAAUCUCCGGGCUUAACCCGGAAACUGCCAUUGAUACUAUAGAUCUUGAAUUAUCUGGAGGUAAGCGGAAUAUGUCAUGUAGCGGUGAAAUGCUUAGAUAUGACAUAGAACACCAAUUGCGAAGGCAGCUUACUACGGAUCGAUUGACACUGAGGCACGAAAGCGUGGGGAUCAAACAGG
rnacentral:rRNA from 1 species